rnacentral:rRNA from 1 species
UCGAGCGGAGCGAGGGUGCUUGCACCUUAGCUUAGCGGCGGACGGGUGAGUAAUGCUUAGGAAUCUGCCUAUUAGUGGGGGACAACAUUCCGAAAGGAAUGCUAAUACCGCACACGCCCUACGGGGGAAAGCAGGGGAUCUUCGGACCUUGCGCUAAUAGAUGAGCCUAAGUCGGAUUAGCUGGUUGGUGGGGUAAAGGCCUACCAAGGCGACCAUAUGUAGCGGGUCUGAGAGGAUGAUCCGCCACACUGGGACUGAGACACGGCCCAGACUCCUACGGGAGGCAGCAGUGGGGAAUAUUGGACAAUGGGCGGAAGCCUGAUCCAGCCAUGCCGCGUGUGUGAAGAAGGCCUUUUGGUUGUAAAGCACUUUAAGCGAGGAGGAGGCUACUAGUAUUAAUACUACCGGAUAGUGGACGUUACUCGCAGAAUAAGCACCGGCUAACUCUGUGCCAGCAGCCGCGGUAAUACAGAGGGUGCGAGCGUUAAUCGGAUUUACUGGGCGUAAAGCGUGCGUAGGCGGCUUUUUAAGUCGGAUGUGAAAUCCCCGAGCUUAACUUGGGAAUUGCAUUCGAUACUGGGAAGCUAGAGUAUGGGAGAGGAUGGUAGAAUUCCAGGUGUAGCGGUGAAAUGCGUAGAGAUCUGGAGGAAUACCGAUGGCGAACGCCGCCAUCUGGCCUAAUACUGACGCUUAUGUAUGAAACCGAGGGG